rnacentral:rRNA from 1 species
GGACGGGUGAGGAAUACAUCGGAAUCUACCUUUUCGUGGGGGAUAACGUAGGGAAACUUACGCUAAUACCGCAUACGACCUUCGGGUGAAAGCAGGGGACCUUCGGGCCUUGCGCGGAUAGAUGAGCCGAUGUCGGAUUAGCUAGUUGGCGGGGUAAAGGCCCACCAAGGCGACGAUCCGUAGCUGGUCUGAGAGGAUGAUCAGCCACACUGGAACUGAGACACGGUCCAGACUCCUACGGGAGGCAGCAGUGGGGAAUAUUGGACAAUGGGCGCAAGCCUGAUCCAGCCAUACCGCGUGGGUGAAGAAGGCCUUCGGGUUGUAAAGCCCUUUUGUUGGGAAAGAAAAGCAGUCGAUUAAUACUCGGUUGUUCUGACGGUACCCAAAGAAUAAGCACCGGCUAACUUCGUGCC